CUGGAGUAAAAUUUUUAGAAAGUCCGCCAUUACACUACUCUGCCGAGCAGCACAUGAGAACUGGAGUUAUGUUCUUCGUUGUGAGAAGUGGUAGGCCUACUUGAUCAGAUGGAGAAACCUGCUGUUCACAUUUCAAAUAGGCUAACUUACACAAUGAGGCCACGAUGCUGAUAAAAGUGCAAUUUGGAGGCAAGAAAAAAUACAUUAAACUGGAAGAAGAUUGUUUCUUGGAUUUUUUCAGUGCGGUCCAGCACAAGUUUGUGAUACCAGAGGAGACAGCAUCGAAAGUCACAGAUGACCAUGGCAUAGAGGUGGAUGAGGAUGUAUUUCAAGAACUUGCAACAACCAAAGAAACAUGUCAUCCACACUGAUGAUGAUUUGACUGUCCUGCAACAAGGGGCUGUUGAAGUGCCCUCCUCCCCAAGUCUGACAGAUACAUUGUCUGUGUCAAGCAGUUUGAGCAGCAGUGAUUCUGGAUCUCAAAUUAUUCAACCUUUAAUAGGCAGUGUCCAAAAAAAUAAAAUUGAGAAAUUUCUAACUUCAAAGCCAGCUGACUGUGAUCAAGGAGUAUGACAAGAUAUUUUUUUGCUGCUUUUGAUUCCUGCAAAGUAAAUUUUAUUUAAUGUAAUGUGUUGAUUGUCUCAUGCAAUUUUACUAAGCCAUUGUUUUAGUUGGCACUAGCUGCUAACAUAUAUUAAUUGUAAAUGUUUUGCUGUUAGAUUUAAUGCUUUAAUGACAAUUAAUUUCAAAGUGUGUACAUUGAUGGAAAUUCUAAAUGUAAUGUGGGAUUUGCAUGAAUAAAAGCAGUAAGUAAAGAGUAUUGCAUCAGUUCA
rnacentral:lncRNA from 1 species